rnacentral:tRNA from 1 species
UUCUUGUAGUUGAAAUACAACGGUGAUUUUUCGUAUCACUGGUCGUGGAUGUGGUCCAUGUAAGAAUA